AAAUGAAUCACUUAAGGAUCUUGUUAAAUUGUAGGCUCUGAUUCUGUAGAUCACGGCUAGGACCUGAAAAUCUAAAUUUCUAAUAAGCUCCUAGGUGAUGCUGAU
rnacentral:pre_miRNA from 1 species